AUAGCAUAUCAACAACGUUCUUUUGUGUGUGACCCAAUAGGCUCACAUUAAUUGGCAAUAGGCCCAGUCCCACAAGGCCCAUAAGUUAUAAGUGGCCUCUAGCAAGACAUUAUGACUACCCAACUAAUAUGAGGAUCAAUAGUCCGAUAAAGCCUAAUAAAUAGAACAUGAAUUAAUCCCUUUGUCACACGAUAUCUAGUUUGAACAUAAGUCAUGGUCAAUGUCAAACUUAUAAUGUUCAAACUUAUGAUUUCUCGAUCUCUAAGUAGACUGAUAAAUUCAAAUGAUAUUGAUCACACUAUCAAUUCAUUUGAGCACGGCCAUGCAUUUCUUAGUCUCACUUAUCGAGGGGCCCAG
rnacentral:lncRNA from 1 species